rnacentral:rRNA from 1 species
CUUGAACGCUGGCGGCAGGCCUAACACAUGCAAGUCGAACGAGUGGCGGACGGGUGAGUAAUGUCUGGGAAACUGCCUGAUGGAGGGGGCUAACUACUGGAACCGGUAGCUAAUACCGCAUACCAUCGGAUGUGCCCCGAUGGGAUUAGCUAGUAGGUGGGGUAAAGGCUCACCUAGGCGACGAUCCCUAGCUGGUCUGAGAGGAUGACCAGCCACACUGGAACUGAGACACGGUCCAGACUCCGACGGGAGGCAGAAGGGGGGAAUAGUGCACAAUGGGCGCAAGCCUGAUGCAGCCAUGCCGCGUGUAUGAAGAAGGCCUUCGGGUUGUAAAGUACUUUCAGCGGGGAGGCGUUACCCGCAGAAGAAGCACCGGCUAACUCCGUGCCAGCAGCCGCGGUAAUUC